UGGGAUAGCUCCGUUGGUAGAGCAUGAGGCUCUUAAUCUCAGGGACGUGGGUUCAAGCCCCACAUUGGGCAAAA
rnacentral:tRNA from 1 species